GGCCCAGUAGCGGAUGGUCCGCGCCUGCUUUGAAUUGGUGUCGCUCAGAUAAGUUUCUGACCGCAGGAGUUGCUCGUUCGACUCGAGCCUGGGCCU